UUAGCAUCUCACUCAACUGAAACACAUCGAACGCUCAACAGGAAUCGCAUUGAACAAUAAAAGAGCGAAACAAUAGCUCGAAAGCCAUCACUCCACUUUUCCACGACUACAGAACUUGUAGCGAAACUAGCGAGAGAGACUCUUUCGGCACGUGCGCCCCAAAUUCCAACCAGUUUUUCUUCCAUCUUACUCGUAGAUAAUUGAAACUAACUACUGCACUGUAUAAAGGACUUUGUAAAGCUAUUUAGCGACCAGACGAACGAAUUCGCGGGUGGCGUUACGAUGGGAAGAAGCGGCGGUUGGGCUGCGCUGGUAGCAUUAACUACGAUUAUCACCGCCAUCAAUGCAUACCCAUCUUUAGAGCCUUCAAGACAGCUGACUGAAUCUGUAGCGUCACCUUCUAAACAGCUGACUGAUCCGCUGACGUCACAAAACCAACAUCAACGUGAUGCAAGAUUUCUCCUCACGUGGGAUGAUUUUUCGUGGUUCUUUGGUACGAAGAAACAAGCUCCACCACCACCGCCACCACCACCAGCGGUGGUGGUCAAAAAACAAACUCCUACGACCAUAGUGGUGAAGAUUCCUGCACCACCGGCACCACCUCCGCACCAACUGCCGCAACUACCGCCUAGUACUGUCACUAAAGUUCAUACAAGUAUUAGGACUAGUACUAGUACCAAGGUAGUGGUAGUUAUACCCACGUUGUCAUACUACCCUGUGCAUUAUCAGGCUACGAAGGUGCACAAGCCUAAGGGAUACUUGAACACUGGUGUACAUCAUUCGGUUGUUGGUGUACAGUAUCCAUCAAAUGAUGUGCAGUAUCCUUCAACCGGAGAUUAUCAGCAAACAACGGGAUUAUCCCACCAAACGGUGGGGAAAUAUCAACAACCGGUGGGACAAUAUCAACCAUCAACUGCCGAAAACUACGCAGUAAAUACGGUACAAUACCCAGCCGAGACGGGAUACCAGCUGACCACGGGACAACAUUAUGCACCGAAUGAGCCAUAUCACGCAACUACAGGAGUAAACUACCAGCCAGCUGAUAAGCAUUAUCAAACAGGUACAGGAUAUGCUACGGAGAAGGUGGACAUCUAUCAACCCGAGGUUGAACACUACAAACCAGCGGUGGAACACUACACAACAACUGGAAACUAUAUCCCACAAACGCCAGUUACCUAUCUUCCGCAAGUGGAUAAAUACGCACCUACAGAAAAUCAAUAUGCAUCAACAGUAACGCAGCACCCAGUAGAUAAAAAUCACUAUGCGCCAGUGGCUCAACAAACCCCACAAGGAGCGCCACACUACCAACAAAUUGCGCAAAACUACGUAGUAAACGCACAACAGUACCCAGCAGCUAUUACACACUAUACAGACGACGCGGAUCACUAUCCAAAAGAUGCGGUACAUAACCCAAUCCCAGGGAUUCACUACUCCGUGUCGAAAAAUACGAUUUUACGGCGAGAAUCUGUAGAUCGUAGAAAGUGAUGAUAAUGAGGCUGUUGUGGUCUUGCCACUCAUUGUAGAUCUUAUGUUGGUAUUUAAAUAUUUAUUGUUUGUGUCAUGAUCGCAAGUGUAAAAAUACGCAGGCGAAUAACUUGUUGACUAAGUGAAACUGUGAAACUGAAUUUGUCUAUCCGCUGUAUGUUACGAGCUACGCGUUUGUUGUGUUUUAGUGUGUUUUUAAAUAAACCAGUUGAACCACAAACCUCGGUAUACAGGGGUCUGUGCUUGAGCUCAUUUGUGUGCUAUUGCAUUUAUAGAUUGUCUUCGCUCAUUGGUGAUCGUCAAUGGUUGUUGCAAGACAUGCUGGACAACCGCAUUGGAAAUUACAUGUAUGCAUUAUCUGA